AUUGAACGCUGGCGGCAUGCCUUACGCAUGCAAGUCGAACGGCAGCGGGGGAGAAGCUUGCUUUUCCUGCCGGCGAGUGGCGAACGGGUGAGUAAUACAUCGGAACGUGCCCUGUAGUGGGGGAUAACUAGUCGAAAGAUUAGCUAAUACCGCAUACGACCUGAGGGUGAAAGUGGGGGACCGCGAGGCCUCAUGCUAUAGGAGCGGCCGAUGUCUGAUUAGCUAGUUGGUGGGGUAAAGGCCUACCAAGGCGACGAUCAGUAGCUGGUCUGAGAGGACGAUCAGCCACACUGGGACUGAGACACGGCCCAGACUCCUACGGGAGGCAGCAGUGGGGAAUUUUGGACAAUGGGCGAAAGCCUGAUCCAGCAAUGCCGCGUGUGUGAAGAAGGCCUUCGGGUUGUAAAGCACUUUUGUCCGGAAAGAAAUGGCUCUGGUUAAUACCUGGGGUCGAUGACGGUACCGGAAGAAUAAGGACCGGCUAACUACGUGCCAGCCGCCGCCGUAA
rnacentral:rRNA from 1 species